rnacentral:rRNA from 1 species
GACGAACGCUGGCGGCGUGCUUAACACAUGCAAGUCGAACGGAAAGGCCCCUUCGGGUGUACUCUAGUGGCGAACGGGUGAGUAACACGUGAGUAACCUGCCCUGGACGUCGGGAUAACUUCAGGAAACUGGGGCUAAUACCCGAUAGGAAUCCUUGCUGCAUGGUGGGGGUUGGAAAGCUUCGGCGGUUUUGGAUGGACUCGCGGCGUAUCAGCUUGUUGGUGGGGUAGUGGCUUACCAAGGCUUGGACGGGUAGCGGGACUGAGAGGGCGACCGGCCACAUUGGGACUUAGAGAAGGCACAGACUCCGACGGGAGGAAGAAGGGGGGAAGAUUGCACAAGGGGCGGAAGCCGUAUGAAGAAAGGCCGCGUGCGGUAUGACGGCCUUCGGGUUGUAAACCGCUUUCAGCAGGGGCGAAGCUUGUGGUGACGGUACCUGCAGAAGAAGCACCGGCUAACUACGUG